CACACAGAGAAAAACUAAACUUAGUAUACUAUGGAGUAAUGUGUAUUUGUGACCUGUAUGGGGCUUUUAGUGUUAAUAUGAGCCAUCUUCAAGUUGAAUGGACAUUUCACACCUGAUUUUGAGAAAAAGGAAAGACUAUCUUUGCCGUAAGAAGUGUCAACUUCACCCUGACUCUAGGGUAUUCAAAAGGGAUGGCCAAAACGCCAUGUUAUUGUCAACUCCCUAACUCUCUGUGGUGGAUUCCUCUCUGAGGAAAUCAUUUGCCAUCUAAGGGAUCAAUAUUCCAGUUAACUUCUGUGCUACUAGCAGAGAUACAGGUGUCAAAAGGCAAGUGACUGGGAGGAAGAAUCUUGACUGGGAGGAGACCCACAAGCUCACUGGUGGUAUCCGACAAGCUCUCCUGCCUCAUCAGUAAUUUCCAAUGCCUCAGUUUCUGUCUCUGUGUUUGGAGAGCUUGGCACAGUGCUGUGACCCAACAUCAAGUUAAAGUCUCUGCUUAAAUCGAAGACCUGAACGCUCCAACAGUUUCCUCCUGGAGAAACGCAGCCCUAGGUUGCCCAGCAACAACUGCUAUAGUGGAGGCAGAAGGUAGGUGGGUAGAGGGAAAAGUACCUGGAUCAUGAACAAGAAAAAGAGCGGGAGGGGCUUUUCGAGUGUCUGAGCUUUCCAGCUCAAAUUGCGCCUGAGUUUCUGGAACCAGUGUUUACCUCGGCAACAAUUUUCCUGCAAAGAGCAGUCGGGCUUCCACACUCUGAUCCCUCCUGACCACCGCCGGCUCUCAAUAGCCAUAUUUCCAGCCCCAGGGCAUCCCAGAUUAAGCUCAGGCUGCUAGCCCUUUAAACCCGACCUGCGGAGGACGACGUGGAACCACAGAACAAGCGGUGUUGAGCCACGUGGUUCGAGGAAGCGUUCAUGUUGGAACUGGGCAAAGCGUAUUUGCACUCUGAGCUGUACAAUAUGAUUGUUUCGAGAAGUAUCCACUUUCUUGUAUUUUCUUCAGUUGGGUUCCCAAAACUCUAACGGUGCCGCUCCUCUGGAACUAAAGUUUAGUUUAAAAUAACACCGCCCGUCCGUCUCUAGUGCCCUUUUUAAAAAUGGUGCUUCGGUCUUCAGCAACGAUAGUUCUUUCGCAAUUAAGAUCCGGGUGGAAACAAUGGGUAGGUGCAGCAGGGCAGAGCCGAGGUUGCUUCAAAGAGCCUCUUGCGGGUCAGGAGGGAGGGUCAGAUCCUUAGCUGGGUUUUGUUCCUGCGGGCGCCGGAAUCCUCUGCGAGUAGGGAGCCGCACUGCCCGCUGCGGAGGCCUGGGGAUUGUUCCUGGCUUAUCAGUUAGCGGAGUAGGCGGUGGAGCAGCGGUCCCCGGAGGGUCACCAUGUGGGCCUUCCCGGAGUUGCCUCUGCCGCUGCUGGUGAAUUUGAUCGGCUCGCUGUUGGGAUUUGUGGCUACUGUCACCCUCAUCCCUGCCUUCCGUAGCCACUUUAUCGCCGCGCGCCUCUGUGGCCAGGACCUCAACAAGCUCAGCCGGGAGCAGAUCCCAGAGUCCCAGGGAGUGAUCUGCGGUGCUGUUUUCCUUAUCAUCCUCUUCUGCUUCAUCCCUUUCCCCUUCCUGAACUGCUUUGUGGAGGAGCAGUGUAAGGCAUUCCCCCACCAUGAAUUUGUGGCCCUGAUAGGUGCCCUCCUUGCCAUCUGCUGCAUGAUCUUCUUGGGUUUUGCUGAUGAUGUACUCAAUCUGCGAUGGCGCCAUAAGCUGCUGCUGCCCACAGCGGCCUCACUACCUCUCCUCAUGGUCUACUUCACUAACUUUGGCAAUACAACCAUCGUGGUGCCCAAGCCCUUCCGCUGGGUUCUUGGCCUGCAUUUGGACUUGGGGAUCCUGUACUAUGUCUACAUGGGACUGCUUGCGGUGUUCUGUACCAACGCCAUCAACAUCCUAGCAGGGAUUAAUGGCCUAGAGGCUGGUCAGUCACUAGUCAUCUCUGCUUCUAUCAUUGUCUUCAACCUGGUGGAGCUGGAAGGUGAUUACCGGGAUGAUCAUGUCUUUUCCCUUUACUUCAUGAUGCCCUUCUUCUUCACCACCUUGGGAUUGCUGUACCAUAACUGGUACCCGUCUCAGGUGUUUGUGGGAGACACCUUCUGUUAUUUUGCUGGCAUGACCUUUGCCGUGGUGGGAAUCCUGGGACACUUCAGCAAGACCAUGCUUCUCUUCUUUAUGCCACAAGUAUUCAAUUUCCUCUACUCACUGCCUCAGCUCUUUCAUAUCAUCCCCUGCCCUCGACACCGUAUUCCCAGACUCAACACAAAGACAGGCAAACUGGAGAUGAGCUAUUCCAAGUUCAAGACCAACAGCCUCUCUUUCUUGGGCACCUUUAUUUUAAAGGUAACAAGGUAACAAGGAGGUAGCAGAGAGCCUCCGGCUAGUGACAGUUCACCGAGGUGAGAGUGAGGAUGGUGCCUUCACUGAGUGUAACAACAUGACCCUCAUCAACUUGCUCCUUAAAGUCCUUGGGCCCACACAUGAGAGAACCCUCACACUGCUCCUGCUGCUCCUGCAGGUCCUGAGCAGCGCUGUCACCUUCUCCAUUCGUUACCAGCUCGUCCGACUCUUCUAUGAUGUCUGAGCUUCCUGAGGGCAGCCCUUUACCACAGUCUCCAUUGGACCUCAACCAGGGCCAACCUCUGUCUGGUCCAAGACUGCCUUCUGGUCCAGGCCUCGCUGACAAUUUUGUUCUCAGCUUCUGCUGCCGUCUGUGACUACUGACAUCCUGGAUGGACACCUUAGUGGACUUGAAGUCCACUAGUUGGACUUUGCCUAUGGCUUUCUUCAGUUUGCCACUCCCUCCCUUCCUAUCCCAUCUGCAGCCUCACCAGGUGGGCAUGUAGCAUCUUUUAUGCAAAUAUUCGUAGCUCAACUUUCAGAGCGCUAACUCUAAAGGAAACUCUAAAGGAAUUCGCUGGGCCUUGAGAGAGCCUGGGCUACUGUGAGAGUUAGGGCAACAUAAUCCCAGGUAACCUUACGUUUGACUAUCAAAUUAAGUGUUCUGAUUAGGAAGAGCAGAGGCAGGGCCAUGUGCUCAGAAUGGUGACAAUAAAGGAUUGCCUUUUACUUGUUCCUCUA